AAAUGUUCAAGGUCUAUCUGCUGAAGAAAUAAGAAAUGGAAACUUAAAAGCCAUUCUAGGGCUGUUUUUCAGUUUAUCUCGCUACAAGCAGCAACAACACCAUCAACAACAGUACUAUCAGUCCUUGGUGGAACUUCAGCAGCGAGUUACUCACGCUUCCCCUCCAUCGGAAGCCAGCCAGGCCAAAACCCAGCAAGAUAUGCAGUCCAGGCUUCCAGGGCCCUCUAGGGUGCCUGCUGCAGGAAGCAGCAGCAAGGUCCAGGGAGCCUCUAAUUUAAAUAGGAGAAGUCAGAGCUUUAACAGCAUUGACAAAAACAAGCCUCCAAAUUAUGCAAAUGGAAACGAAAAAGUACUGCUGGGCAGCCUCCUGCCUCUGCCAUCCCUUCUCCAAGUGCCAGCAAGCCCUGGCGCAGCAAGUCCAUGAAUGUCAAACACAGUGCCACCUCCACCAUGUUGACUGUAAAGCAG
rnacentral:lncRNA from 10 species